rnacentral:rRNA from 1 species
GACGAACGCUGGCGGCGUGCUUAACACAUGCAAGUCGAACGGAAAGGCCCUGCUUUUGUGGGGUGCUCGAGUGGCGAACGGGUGAGUAACACGUGAGUAACCUGCCCUUGACUUUGGGAUAACUUCAGGAAACUGGGGCUAAUACCGGAUAGGAGCUCCUGCUGCAUGGUGGGGGUUGGAAAGUUUCGGCGGUUGGGGAUGGACUCGCGGCUUAUCAGCUUGUUGGUGGGGUAGUGGCUUACCAAGGCUUUGACGGGUAGCCGGCCUGAGAGGGUGACCGGCCACAUUGGGACUGAGAUACGGCCCAGACUCCUACGGGAGGCAGCAGUGGGGAAUAUUGCACAAUGGGCGGAAGCCUGAUGCAGCAACGCCGCGUGCGGGAUGACGGCCUUCGGGUUGUAAACCGCUUUCGCCUGUGACGAAGCGUGGGUGACGGUAAUGGGUAUAGAAGCACCGGCUAACUACGUG